GGUGGGUAUAGCUCAGUGGUAGAGCAUGUGCUUAGCAUGCACAAGGUCCUGGGUUCAAUUCCCAGUACCUUCA
rnacentral:tRNA from 1 species